rnacentral:rRNA from 1 species
AGAGAGAGACAUGCGCGCAUAUCAAUAAGCGGAGAAAAGAAACUAACUAGGAUUCCCUCAGUAACGGCGAGUGAAGCGGGAAGAGCUCAAAUUUGAAAUCUUCAAGGUUCUACCUUGACGAAUUGUAGUUUAAAGAAGUGUUUUCUGUUGAAGUUUUGGUAAAAGUUCUUUGGAAUAGGACAUCAUAGAGGGUGAGAAUCCCGUAUUUGACCAUUAUUUCCAGCUUUGUGAUACACUUUCAAAGAGUCGGAUUGUUUGGGAAUGCAGUCCAAAAUGGGUGGUAAAUUUCAUCUAAAGCUAAAUAUUGGCGAGAGACCGAUAGCGAACAAGUACCGUGAGGGAAAGAUGAAAAGAACUUUGAAAAGAGAGUUAAACAGUACGUGAAAUUGUCAAAAGGGAAGCGUUUGACACCAGUGUUGUUUUCUCGAAAAUCAAUUAAAAAAGGCAGGAUUUUGUGUUGUAUUGACUUUAUCAGCUUUCUGCACUCUUUUCUUGUCUUUUUUAAUGCACUUUUCGUUUAACAAGUCAACAUCAAUUUCUUUUGUUGUAAAAGGGUCAUUGGAAGGUGGCUUUCUUUUCGGAGAAAGUGUUUAUAGCCUUUGGCCUCUGCAAUCGGAGAGAUUGAGGUCUGCAGCGUAGAUCCUUCGGGGCUAAAUGCAUUUGUGCUAAGUUAUAGCAUUUUAUAGACAACUUGUUGACUAUGAUUUGUCUUGUAGCUUACUCGCUUAUGUUAUUUUACCUACGCUUAGGAUGUUGAUGUGAUACUGCGAGCA